GACGAACGCUGGCGGCGUGCCUAACACAUGCAAGUCGAGCGGUAAGGCCCUUUCGGGGGUACACGAGCGGCGAACGGGUGAGUAACACGUGGGUGACCUGCCCUCAGCUCUGGGAUAAGCCUGGGAAACUGGGUCUAAUACUGGAUAUGACUCCACGGUGCAUGUCGUGGGGUGGAAAGCCUUGUGCGGCUGAGGAUGGGCCCGCGGCCUAUCAGCUUGUUGGUGGGGUGAGGGCCUACCAAGGCGACGACGGGUAGCCGGCCUGAGAGGGCGACCGGCCACACUGGGACUGAGACACGGCCCAGACUCCUACGGGAGGGCAGCAGUGGGGAAUCUUGCGCAAUGGGCGAAAGCCUGACGCAGCGACGCCGCGUGAGGGAUGACGGCCU
rnacentral:rRNA from 1 species